CGGACGGGUGAGUAACGCGUGAGAAUCUGCCCUUAGGACGGGGACAACAGCUGGAAACGGCUGCUAAUACCCGAUGUGCCGAGAGGUGAAACAUUUUAUGGCCUGAGGAUGAGCUCGCGUCUGAUUAGCUAGUUGGUGGGGUAAGAGCCUACCAAGGCGACGAUCAGUAGCUGGUCUGAGAGGAUGAUCAGCCACACUGGGACUGAGACACGGCCCAGACUCCUACGGGAGGCAGCAGUGGGGAAUUUUCCGCAAUGGGCGCAAGCCUGACGGAGCAAGACCGCGUGCGGGAGGACGGCCUAUUGGUUGUAAACCGCUUUUGAUAGGGAAGAAGUUCUGACGGUACCUAUCGAAUCAGCAUCGGCUAACUCCGUGCCAGCAGCCGCGGUAAUACGGAGGAUGCAAGCGUUAUCCGGAAUUAUUGGGCGUAAAGCGUCCGUAGGUGGUUGUUCAAGUCUGCUGUUAAAGCGUGCGGCUUAACCGCAUACCAGCAGUGGAAACUGGGCGACUAGAGUGCGGUAGGGGUCAGGGGAAUUCCCAGUGUAGCGGUGAAAUGCGUAGAUAUUGGGAAGAACACCGGUGGCGAAAGCGCCUGACUGGACCUGCACUGACACUAGAGGGACGAAAGCUAGGGGAGCGAAAGGGAUUAGAUACCCCUGUAGUC
rnacentral:rRNA from 1 species